rnacentral:rRNA from 1 species
AUUCCAGCUCCAAUAGCGUAUAUUAAAGUUGUUGCGGUUAAAAAGCUCGUAGUUGGAUUUCUGUUGAGGAAGUCCGGUCCGCACUUUGUGCGUGAUCUGGUUCUGCCUCGGCAUCCUCGCGGGGAACGCGCUGCGCUUGAUUGCGUGGUGCGGUAUUCGCGACUUUUACUUUGAGGAAAUUAGAGUGUUCACGGCAGGCUAUCGCCUUGAAUACGUUAGCAUGGAAUAAUAAUAUAGGACCUUGGUUCUAUUUUGUUGGUUUCUAGAACUAAGGUAAUGAUUAAUAGGGAUAAUUGGGGGCAUUUGUAUUAACACGUCAGAGGUGAAAUUCUUGGAUUGUGUUACGACAAACUACUGCGAAAGCAUUUGCCAAGGAUGUUUUCAUUG